AAGAGUUGAUCGAAAUAAAUACUAAAUAAAAUUUAAUAAAUAAAAACCUUAACAAAAUUUGUUUUGAGAAAAAAUCAAAGGGUAAUUAUUAAGAAUAGUAAGUUAUCUAGCCCGUAAAUUUCCCAGAAAAUAACAAAACCCCAGAGAGAUUUUAAAAAAUCAGAGGAAAACAAUGAUUAUUCUGGUUAAAUAAACACUGUCCGGCGAAAAACUGAUUCGAUAGGGAAAAAAAAUCAGAUCGAGGAUCAAACCGGACCUUCCCGAUGACAAAUCAAACAAUACCGUGCGGGCCAAAAAAGGAUUUGAAAAGAGGAGCAAUCAUUUCUCCCGAUAGUUUAUGAAGCUUGUCACAUGUUGGGGUAUCUCGCGUUUUGAUCCUCAUACAUCCGAGAUUGGUCCGAGUUUAACAGAAAUAGAUAAUAUUAUAAGUGAUGGGGUUAGUGACCGAUGAAAAUGAAACCGUUACCGUCCGUUUCCUUCAUAACAAAGUGUGCACGAGACGCGGUCCGUCGAGGACUGCCCGGUUGGAACAGCCUCCGUCGUUUGGUCAGAAAGCAGGUGGAACGGAAGUCGUUGACUCACCCUGACUGCCAGCGAUUCCAUCCAUGCCUCCGCUGUAACCUCGAGAAGGUCCGAACCCAGACGCUUCCUGUGGAUAACUUCCCAUCAUACCUGAGGAAUAAAAAUCCACAUAAAUAGAUAAUUUUUUCAGUCUAUUAAAAAAAAUUCCAUUAUUAUUAUCAUCAUCACCACCAACAUCGACGCAUUUUCCUCCGGCACGAUAACCACAAUCUGUUAUGAAGCGAAACCGAUCGGAAAUAAUAAGAAAAUUUUAUUAUUAGUAAAAGUUGUUAGUAAAGACAGCUAUUCCAGUGUAAUUUUAAUUACUAUACUUCGAUAACAACGAUUCAAAAACUUAAUAAAUCCGUAUUUUCAAUAAAAAAAUGUUAUAACCGA
rnacentral:lncRNA from 1 species